rnacentral:rRNA from 1 species
UACGUAGGGGGCAGGCGUUAUCCGGAUUUACUGGGUGUAAAGGGAGCGUAGACGGCAGGGCAAGUCUGGAGUGAAAGGCAGGGGCCCAACCCCUGGACUGCUCUGGAAACUGUCCGGCUGGAGUGCAGGAGAGGUAAGUGGAAUUCCUAGUGUAGCGGUGAAAUGCGUAGAUAUUAGGAGGAACACCAGUGGCGAAGGCGGCUUACUGGACUGUAACUGACGUUGAGGCUCGAAAGCGUGGGGAGCAUACAGG